CAAGAUGGCGGCGGCCGGGCGGCGCGGGCCCGGGCGGCCGAGCUCCCGGGCUUCCGAGGUCGGCGCGGUUCCGUGAAGCGAGCCCCCAGGCCUCAGGCAUGGGCUUGCCGCCGCGGGCCCCCCUGCUCCUGGGGCUUCUCGUUCUGCAGGGCGUCCUGAGGCCGCUGUGGGGGGACCUGGUUUUCAUCCCAGCUUUCAUCCGCAUGACCGGCCCCGCGGCCAGCGCGUCCCUGGUCGGACGCACCGAGGAUGUGACCGUGUCCCUGGCCCUGCUGCAAGACAAGGAGGGGUUAUUACCGGUUCCUGCUUGUGGAGUGCUGACUAAUGAGACAGGAGAAUGGAGCUUGACUGUGACCCCUAGCGUGGUAAGGUCAGAGAAUGCGUUGGAUGUGACAGUGAGGUUGAAGAGGGGUCUGCAAAGGUGUUUCUCUAAUGAGACGGAUUCCUUCUCAGAGUCCCCGUGUAUUGUCCAGACUCUUCUGGUUUCAGCAUCUCGCAAUUCAUCCUGCUUAGCACAUCUGCUCAUUCGAGUGGAAAUUUAUGCCAACUCUUCUUUGGCCCAUAAUGCAUCAGAGAAUGUGACUGUUAUUCCCAGCCAGGUGUAUCAGCCCCUUGGUCCCUGCCCUUGUAAUCUGACAGCCAACGCCUGUGACGUUCGCUGCUGCUGUGACCAGGAAUGCUCGUCAGAUCUAACAGAGCUGUUCAGAGAGGCCUGUUUCACCGGCGUCUUUGGAGGUGACGUCAAUCCUCAGUUUGACCAGCUGUGCUCUGUGCAGGAGCCCUACCGGACCCCAGGCUGGUUCCCGUUCCUGUGUGUUCAGUCCUCGCUGGCCAACUCACCCUUCCUGGGCUACUUCUAUGACGGCUCUGUUUCCUCUAGGCAGCAUAUUGCCUCUGAAGUACAUCUGCAUACUGAUUACAGAGACUUUUCAGACUUCGGUUACAAACAAGGAGAUCCAGUCAUGACUCUAGACAAGGCAUAUUUGACCAUUCCGCAGGUGUCCCUGGCUGGGCAGUGCCUGCAGGAUGCGCCAGUGGCAUUCCUUCAGAAUUUUGAUGUUCUGUGUGCUACUAAUUUGGACGUAUACCAAGAGCAAGAUGAUAUUACCAAUGUGAAGAUCAAGAAUGGUGCCGUAGGAGGCAUCGUUCAACCAAAAGUAAUCUAUGAGGAAGCAGCCGACCCAGACAAAUUCAUCACCAGUACAGAAAUACUUUUCAGCAAUGAAUCAACCUCCAGAAACGUGAACGUGGAAGAACAUUAUAUUUUCAGAUGGAAUAAUAAUACAAUCAGCGAAAUAAAUGUCAAAAUUAUUAGGGCAGAAAUUAAUGCCCACCAAAAAGGGAUCAUGACACAGAGAUUUACAGUAAAAUUUUUAAGCUAUAAUAGUGAUAAUGAAGAGGAAUUUUCUGGAAAUCCAGGAUACCAACUUGGCAAGCCUGUUCGAGCUCUAAAUACCAACAAGAUGAAUAAUGUGACAACUUUAUACCUUUGGCAAUCAGCUGGAAGGGGUUUGUGUACAUCAGCAACUUUCAAACCCAUUUUAUUUGGAGAAAAUGCACUAUCUGGAUGUCUUUUAGAAGUUGGGAUCCAUGAAAACUGUACUCGACUCAGAGAGAGAGAAAGAGGCAGAGACACAGGAGGAGGGAGAAGCAGGCUCCAUGCCGGGAGCCUGACGUGGGACUCGAUCCCGGGACUCCAGGAUCACGCCCUGGGCCAAAAAGGUGUGGAUGCCCCUGAUACAGUAGAUCCGUCUGUUGGUGCGAACGGCAGCUGCAUGGACAUUCCCACCCAACUGCACAUCCGCAUCCUCAUCUCAGAUGCUGGUGCGGUAGAAGGCAUUACUCAGCAGGAGAUACUUGGCGUACAGACAAGGUAUCUAUGAAGCCAUGUGUAAGGGAUUCUGCACAGUCUUCAGGGGGUGCAAAGAUGAAAUCCAGGAAUAUAAUGCUCCAUGGAUGCUGAGCAGGGAGUAUUGUGGGGAGGGGACUUCCCGAAGGGGAGGAAGAAAGGGGAUGGCAGGCUAGGUAGGCAGAAACGGCAGAUGUUGACCGGCAAACACAGCAGAUAGGACUCUUCUGAGAGUGAUGAUGUGUGUGUGUACAUGGUGUGCAUGGCUAGCUCUUGUUCUUAUACUACUGUUUACUGUUGUAGCGGGAUGAUUGGCCUGUGAGGUUCACCAUGCUACUCUCUCUCCUUGUGCACACAGUGGGAAGUUUACAUUGUCAAUGGGGGCAAAAGCACUAGUAGAAUUUGAACCUUCUUUACGAGAACCCCAGUUUAUACUGUUGUGGGCAGUUACACUUGAUGCCCUUACCAGACUAGAAAUGAAGGCUGGAUGUGUUAGCUACGUGAUCUGUCCUCCCAGGUUUUCCUCAGUGAAUUGGCAGUUCCACUGCGGGCUCACCUGUGAGGAUAAGGCUGACCUUCUCCCUGUCAGUGCUUCUGUCCAGUUUAUUAAGAUACCUGCACAGGUACCCCGCCCACUGUCAAGAUUCCAGAUCAAUUUUACAGAGU